GCGGCUCAGGCUGCGGCAGGGCCCUUGGCCGAUCUUCUCUACCCUCAGACCGGCGUCAAAUGAAUCUGUCAAGUUGACCUCGUCGGAUGAGCUCCUCGAUCUCGUCUCGAAGCUGGAUGCAUUCCUCCAUGUCGUGGCCGUGGUCAUGAUGGUAGAGGCAGAACUUGUUCGGAUUGCACUUCUCGGGGUACGUGCGCAUCCUCUCUGGCCUAGGGAG
rnacentral:lncRNA from 1 species